rnacentral:misc_RNA from 1 species
UACGUAGGUGGCAAGCGUUGUCCGGAUUUAUUGGGCGUAAAGAGCGCGCAGGCGGCCUCUCAAGUCUGAUGUGAAAGCCCCCGGCUCAACUGGGGAGGGCCAUUCGAAACUGGGAGGCUUGAGGAUAGGAGAGAGGAGUGGAAUUCCACGUGUAGCGGUGAAAUGCGUAGAGAUGUGGAGGAACACCAGUGGCGAAGGCGACUCUUUGGCCUAGAACUGACGCUGAGGCGCGAAAGCGUGGGGAGCAAACAGG